rnacentral:rRNA from 1 species
UGGGGAAUAUUGGACAAUGGGCGCAAGCCUGAUCCAGCCAUGCCGCGUGAGUGAUGAAGGCCCUAGGGUUGUAAAGCUCUUUCACCGGUGAAGAUAAUGACGGUAACCGGAGAAGAAGCCCCGGCUAACUUCGUGCCAGCAGCCGCGGUAAUACGAAGGGGGCUAGCGUUGUUCGGAUUUACUGGGCGUAAAGCGCACGUAGGCGGACUUUUAAGUCAGGGGUGAAAUCCCGGGGCUCAACCCAGGAACUGCCUUUGAUACUGGAAGUCUUGAGUAUGGUAGAGGUGAGUGGAAUUCCGAGUGUAGAGGUGAAAUUCGUAGAUAUUCGGAGGAACACCAGUGGCGAAGGCGGCUCACUGGACCAUUACUGACGCUGAGGUGCGAAAGCGUGGGGAGCAAACAGG